rnacentral:lncRNA from 1 species
GACUUUUCAUGAUGUUAUUUGGCGCAGAAAGCAUAAAGUUGCAACGCAGCGCUAUAAAUAGGAAUUAUUUUCCAAUCAUUUCCCUGCCCCAAAGCCAAGCUUGACCGCACCUGUACAUCUUUCGUACUUCCCUUUCCACUUGCUCUAUCCCCGCUCUCUAUUUUGCGUUUGAUUUUUGGGCAUUGGUUUCCAUUAGAGGAGCAACUGUCGUCGUGGCAUUACCCGUGGUGGCUCCGUGUCUAGCCCAUUAGCGAGCGGCUGGACCAAGUCAGACUGCGGCUAUCCACACAUCUCCACCAACAUGGCAUUGGCAUUGGCAUUAACAUCAACAUCAGGCUCAGAUGCUGACGCUGAUGCUGCUGCUGCUGCUCCUGUCAAAUAGCCGGCAAUCACUCAGUCAAUUUGGCAUUUUCGGCUUACAAUUUUUUCUGCUCUCUCUCUCUCUUUCUCUCGUUCUGUGUGCCUCUCUCUCUGUCCGCCUAUUUGUCCGUGGCUUGAUUUAUGGACGAGCCACUGCCGCUGCCCCUCGAUCGGGUUUUCCUUUUUGUUUGCGGCAUGAAAUCAAUGUCUGAAUUAAAUCGUUGAAUUAUGUAUGUGGCCGGGCACUCUUUUCCGGCUAAUUCCAAAAUAUUUUCUGAUGUUUGCUCAAAUUGUUAUCUGGCUAAAUAUUUUGCUUUUAAUAUUCGCUUUUUGUUUGCUCAAAAAUAAACAUAAAUGUUACGCGGCUGACAUGGAUAUUCAUGCGGAAAACCUCCACCCACAUGUGAGUCAUGCGCUGCCCCACAAAUAUUUAAGCUAACUUUAAAGCUCAUUAACAUAAAUGAAUAAUUUAUAGAAAUAUAU